ACAGCAGGGGGAGCAAGAUGGAGUCACAGACCCAGGUCCUCAUAUCCCUGAUGCUUUGGGUGUCUGGUACCUGUGCAGACAUCGUGAUGACCCAGUCUCCAUCCUCCUUGGCUGUGUCAGCAGGAGAGAAGGUCACCAUUAGCUGCAAAUCCAGUCAAAGCCUUACUUUAGUAGGCUUAAACUUCUUGUCCUGGUACCAGCAGAAACCAGGGCAAUCCCCUAAGCUGCUGAUCUAUUGGGCAUCCAAUCGAUACACUGGGGUCCCUGAUCGCUUCACAGGCAGUGGAUCUGGGACAGAUUACACUCUCAGCAUCAGCAGUGUGCAGGCUGAAGACCUGGCAGUUUAUUACUGUAUGCAGGGUAAAAGUACUCCUCCCACAAAAAAUCAGCUCCUUUUCAUGAGACUGGUGGUGAAAAUUAAGUCUCAUGCUGGGGACACUCUCAUCAACUGUCACCCGAGCUUCAGAGUAAUUUAG